GACGAACGCUGGCGGCGCGCUUAAUACAUGCAAGUCGAGCGAGAACCAGAGCUUCGGCUCUGGGGACAGCGGCGAACGGGUGAGUAACACGUGAGUAAUCUGCCCUCGGCACCGGGAUAGCCCGGGGAAACCCGGAUUAAUACCGGAUGGCCUCUCGAGCUUUCGGGCUCGUGAGAAAAGGUAGCUUCGGCCUCCGGCCGAGGAGGAGCUCGCGGCGGAUUAGCUUGUUGGUGGGGUAACGGCUCACCAAGGCGACGAUCCGUAGCUGGUCUGAGAGGACGAUCAGCCACACUGGGACUGAGACACGGCCCAGACUCCUACGGGAGGCAGCAGUAGGGAAUCUUGCGCAAUGGGCGAAAGCCUGACGCAGCGACGCCGCGUGCGGGAAGAAGGCCUUCGGGUUGUAAACCGCUUUCAGGAGGGACGAAGCCACUCGGGUUAAUAGCCCAGAGGGUGACGGUACCUCCAGAAGAAGCCCCGGCUAACUACGUGCCAGCCGCCGCAGUAAAAC
rnacentral:rRNA from 1 species